GACGAACGCUGGCGGCGUGCUUAACACAUGCAAGUCGAACGGAAAGGCCCUGCUUUUGUGGGGUGCUCGAGUGGCGAACGGGUGAGUAACACGUGAGUAACCUGCCCUUGACUUUGGGAUAACUUCAGGAAACUGGGGCUAAUACCGGAUAGGAGCUCCUGCUGCAUGGUGGGGGUUGGAAAGUUUCGGCGGUUGGGGAUGGACUCGCGGCUUAUCAGCUUGUUGGUGGGGUAGUGGCUUACCAAGGCUUUGACGGGUAGCCGGCCGGAGAGGGUGACCGGCCACAUUGGGACUGGGAUACGGCCCAGACUCCUACGGGAGGCAGCAGUGGGGAAUAUUGCACAAUGGGCGGAAGCCUGAUGCAGCAACGCCGCGUGCGGGAUGACGGCCUUCGGGUUGUAAACCGCUUUCGCCUGUGACGAAGCGUGAGUGACGGUAAUGGGUAAAGAAGCACCGGCUAACUACGUG
rnacentral:rRNA from 1 species